UACGUAGGGUGCGAGCGUUCAUCGGAAUUACUGGGCGUAAAGCGUGCGCAGGCGGUGAGCUGUGUCCGAUGUGAAAGCCCCGGGCUUAACCUGGGAAUGGCAUUGGAAACUGGCUCGCUGGAGUGUGGCAGAGGGGGGUGGAAUUCCGCGUGUAGCAGUGAAAUGCGUAGAGAUGCGGAGGAACACCGAUGGCGAAGGCAGCCCCCUGGGCUAACACUGACGCUCAGGCACGAAAGCGUGGGGAGCAAACAGG
rnacentral:rRNA from 1 species